ACAGAGAACUCUCUAGAGACAGAAAGCAGAGGAGCGUUCCAGGGGCUGGAGGAGGGGAACAGGGAGUGGCUGCUGAUGGGUGUUGCGUUUCUUUGCGGGAUGAUGUAAAUGUUCUAGAAUUAGAUUGUGGUCAUGGUUGUACAACUCUGUAAAUAUACUCAAAACCACUGACUCAUAUACUUUAAGUGGGUAAAUUUUAGGGUAUGUAAAUUAUCUCCCAAGAAAGUGCUGUAAAAAAUGGGCUCGUCCAAGUCCAGGCUGGACAGCCUGCAGUUCAAGCCCAGGAGGCAGGAGCUACCGUGGAUCUUAUUCUUGCUAUCUGCACUCUCAUCUCUUUGACUCCUCACAACCACCCUGUAAGGUGGGCACUUGGCAGAGGAGGCAAUUCAAGUUUUGGAGAAGGAGGAGACCCACUACUUCCCUGGUCUUCUGGACAGACAACAGCAGGGCCUCUGUUUUCCCAUCUAGCAAAAGGGCUCCAUCAGUGGUUUUCAAACUGUGCUCCAAGGCACCCUGGGGCCAAGAAGAGUUUGCAACCACCCUGAAGAGAGGAUGUCCCCAAGGUCCUCCUGGGAUCCCACCCACCUCCCUGCCUCCCCUUCAGUCCUGGUCCACCCCUGAAAGGCAGGAUGUGGCUGCCAAAGGUAGGUAGGGAAAAGGAAGGCGUGGGGGGCUGUGCGCAGGAAUCUACAUCCUGGGGACCCGGAGAUGGGAACUCCAGGUGCCUGGAGCCUGGCUUCCGGCUCCAUCCUAGGGAAGAAGCCUCGGCCGCCGCCUCCCGGGAUGAAACCGCCUGGCUUGCAGCCCAGAGCUCUUCCCGGACACGGUGCCGGCAUCUCAGCUUCCCUUCUGGUGGAGGAGACACUCUGGAGCCGCUUGCUCAGGGCUUGGGUUUCCAAGACUGGAUCAUCCAUGGCUGUGGCUACUGAGUCCCAGAUACCCCAAGUAUCCAGCAAGAGAGUGAGGCUGGGCCUGUGCCGAGCGCUGGGGACCCUGCCCAUUCUGUUUGCAUGAAUUUAACCCCAGCACUCCCUUCUGCGGAGGAGGACUACCAGGUUGGGGGAUGUCCGUGAGCAACAGGACGCGGUGAGGCCUGAGGCCAAAUGGAGCACCCCUGGCCCUUCCAAAGCGGGCAGUGGCUACUUGGCUCCAGCCUGCAAUGGCCAGACUUUUGAUUUUUCAAGAGAAGCCAGAAAUCUGGGUUAUAAUUUGAAAUCUCCAGAGUUUGGAAAAGUUUUAUGAGCAAAACACAUCCACAAACGGGGCACAGCCCGCAGGCUACCCACGGGCAACAUUAUCUCCUGGAUGGGUACAACCACUGCCUUUUUUAUUUUUAUCUUUUACUUUUUUUUAUUUUUGGUAGAGACAGGGUCUUGCUGUGUCACCCAGGCUGGAGUAUGGUGGUGUGAUCAUAGCUUACUGCAGCUCCGACCCCCUGGGCUCAAGGAAUCCUCCUGCCUCAGCUUCCCGAGUAGCUGGGACUACAGGCACACAGCACCAUGGCCAGCUAAGUUUGUUUUUUUGGGUGUUGGGGGGGAUGGUCAGGGGUAGAGAUGGGGCCUCACUAUGUCUCCCAGGCUGGCUUUUUUUUUUUUUUUGAGAUGGAGUCACGUUCUGUCACCCAGGCUGAAGCACAAUGGUGUGAUCUUGGCUCACUGCCACCUCUGGGUUCAAGCGAUUCUCCUGCCUCAGCCUUCCGAGUAGCUGGGAUUACAGGCACGUGCCACCAUGCCAGCUAAUUUUUGUGUUUUUAGUAGAGACAAGGUUUUACCAUGUUGCCAAGGCUGCUCCCGAACUCCUGACCUCAGGUGAUCCUCCUGCCUCAGUCUCCUAAAGUGCUAGGAUUACAGGCGUGAGCCACUGCGCCUGGCCCCAGGCUGGUCUUGAACUCCUGCCCUCAAGCGAUCCUCGUGCAUCGACAGCUCAAAGUGCUGAAAUUACAGGCAUAGGCCACCGUGCCCAGCCACAAGCAGCAUCUUGCAGAUGAGAACACUGAGGCUCAGGGGAAGCAACACGUGCAGUCCCCGAGAGGCAAGUAGCCCAGCUCAGACUCAAGCCCGUCUCCGAAUUCCAGAUUCCAGGAAGGACGCUUCCAUGAAGCUAUUCCUUUGCUUUGAAAAAAAAACAACCUUCCCUUUACAGCCUCGUCAAAUAACAAUGGAACACCCACCCAUACACCGCAGCUCAAGGAAGCUGUUUCUGUGCUGAUGCCUGCCAUUCUCCAAGAAAAAACUCCGCCAUUCACAGGGUGUGUUUAAGGCGGAGAAGAGAAUACAAAUGCAUCUCCCCGCGUACCCGCCUAGGGCAUCUCUGGGAAAAUAUACUCAAAUACUCAAGAAACGGUGGGGGAACGGGGUGGGAGGAGGACUUCUCUCUCACUGCAUAUCCUUUGAGUAUUUUGAUGAUUUGGACAUGUGAACAUAUUCGCUCUUCAGCAAGUAAAUGGUUGUUUUGUUUGUUU
rnacentral:lncRNA from 1 species